GACGAACGCUGGCGGCGUGCUUAACACAUGCAAGUCGAACGGAAAGGCCCUGCUUUUGUGGGGUGCUCGAGUGGCGAACGGGUGAGUAACACGUGAGUAACCUGCCCUUGACUUUGGGAUAACUUCAGGAAACUGGGGCUAAUACCGGAUAGGAGCUCCUGCUGCAUGGUGGGGGUUGGAAAGUUUCGGCGGUUGGGGAUGGACUCGCGGCUUAUCAGCUUGUUGGUGGGGUAGUGGCUUACCAAGGCUUUGACGGGUAGCCGGCCUGAGAGGGUGACCGGCCACAUUGGGACUGAGAUACGGCCCAGACUCCUACGGGAGGCAGCAGUGGGGAAUAUUGCACAAUGGGCGGAAGCCUGAUGCAGCAACGCCGCGUUCGGGAUGACGGCCUUCGGGUUGUAAACCGCUUUCGCCUGUGACGAAGCGUGAGUGACGGUAAUGGGUAAAGAAGCACCAGCUAACUACGUG
rnacentral:rRNA from 1 species